UAAAUAGUAUAAGUUACAGUUGAUUGAUAAACUAAUCUGAUCUGUAUUGUUCUUGGAAUUAACUUUAAGAACAUCUAACACCCUUUCCAUGCUGUAUAUAUCCUAUCCUCUUGUUUUGUAGAGGAAGGCUACAAAGGAAGUUCUGAGGCAUGUAGUUUAUGCUGAAUCUAUCUCUGUCUAGCUCCAAAAUGGAACUUCUUGGGUCUCCAAAAUAGCAGUUGUCAUAAAAAGCGGGCACGGUGUUUUGCACAAAUCAAGACUCAUUUCAAUAAUCAAAGGAAAGUUGGAAGGAAAUUGGAUGCAGAGACCACAUUAGGAAAAUGUCUGCAAGGACCGAAGCCUGCUUUAAAUGGCAGCCACCUGCUGGAGCAGUGCUAGUGAAGGAUCUGUCCCAGACUUCAUUACAAUUUCUCCCAUGCAAUUUGGUGAUCCUCAUAAGAACAAAGCCGCUUUGAGACCAGGUAAUUAAUCUGUCCAUAUAUGUUGAAAUUGCUGAGGCCUUUUGCAAAUGAUAAUUAAUAGACUGAUAGAUCCUCAAAAGAUAAAAAAGAGACUUUAUUAAAUGGUUGAAUAAACAUAAAGCUGGGUUAUUUAGCCCAGAUCUCCACUUCAUGCAGUUUGUGUUUUGCUAGGAAGCAAUCAGAAAAGAGAUGCACAAGUGGAGGGAUAAACAAGUAAGCAUAUAAGAAACUUAUAUCAGAUCACAAAGAAAAGGUAAGGAACCAAUACAAAGCUAUUUAUCCUCAUGGAGUGGAUGGUAAUUACAGUUGCCAGAAAUACAAGAAAGGGUUCGGGAUGAAAAGAAGAUCAACUCGCAAGCUUAGCCUUGCACUGUAAGGUAAGAGAGAAGCAUUGAAGCUCUGUUCUUUCCCAGCUGCAACUUCCAGUGUACACUUACUGGAGAUUGGUGCUGCUUUAAAG